AGAAUAAAAUAUUAACCAAUGACAGAAAAGCAGGGGAACUCCCUCCCACACGUCGGAGCCGGGCGGGUCAGCGCUCAUUCCGCAGCCGCUGCACCGACACACACCAAACCCAUCAGCUUUGCGCUUUAUCAUCCCGAUGAGACGAUGCCAGCUUUGCCAGAGCCACCAAAUUCCCUUCCGAUGCACUGGAAACCAGGAAUUACGAUGACUGAGCUGAGUUGUCGCGCUCUCUAGUAUUCAGCCUAUUAUCAAUCUACUAAAAUAACGCGACUCUGGUGAUGCACUUCUUCUUCCGUCCGAGGAAAACACAUUUCCACGUGCUUUUACUAAAUGAUUUGGGCGUUAGAACUCAAAUAGUCCAGUAGGUCGCGAUCCCAAAACAAGACCAAUAAAAUGCUACAGAUUACAAAAGCAGCCUGGUCCUCAGUGCACAGGGGGAAAUUAGGAAAGGAUCCGUUUGAGUUGUGAAAUAUUAGAUGUGUUUGAUCUCGUCACUAACCUGGCAACAGAAGAGGCGACUUCAAAAGGACACUGGCACUUUAAACGCACUUGGGUGGGGGGUGGGGGGGGAACAAGCCUUUAUGCAAUACAAAAAGACAAGACGAACGGAAGGAAUAUGAAGACUGUAAAGAUAAGUUUGUGGUUGGAUUUGGCGGCAGUGCUGUGAUUUGUUCAUUAAGGCCUGUAAGCUCUCUCUCCUCUGCUGAAGUGUUUAUAGGCUAAAGGGAGCCGCUGACUCGCCCUGAUCAAUAGUCUAUGUUUGAUCUGUGGCUUUAAACUGCGACACAGGACGAUUUCAAGUGGAAAGAGAUUAAGCACACAUGGGAAUGUGUACGACUCACUUCCAGGGAUCUUCUCAGCCAUCAGUGAGCUCAGCUAGCAGACGGAGUACAGCCCUCACUGCAGAGAGGCUCGUACAUGUGUGUGAGUUUGUUCCUGCAUGUCUGCUGCUCAUCUGUUCAGUGCAUGACAGGAGAUCUGCAGAAAGGAAAGAUUAAACUUGUUCCUUUGUGUCAUAUCCUAUCUCAGACUCUCCACUCCUUAGUGAUGUACAGGUGCCGAGGGUUUACAAGAAGGUUCUGGGAUAUUAGAGUUCAACAAAGAAUAUAGAAUAAGGUUUUAAGAAUAAGACUGAGAUUUUGUAAAAUUUACAAUUCAUCUUCUGCUCCUACACAACAUCACCUAACUCUUUACACACUUCCACACUUAGAACGCGUCAAUUACUCAAAAUGUUAGUCACAAUUAAAAUGUUUUCAUUUAAUAACUCAUUAUCUCACAGGAUACGAGUCAGUACAUAGUGAGAUUCUUCAGCCUGUAUUGUACCAGAUGUUUUUUGUGUGUUUUAAGACUGAUUAUAAUAAAGGUUACUGUUAUGACGCA